GAUGAACGCUGGCGGCGUGCUUAACACAUGCAAGUCGAACGGAAAGGCCCAAGCUUGCUUGGGUGCUCGAGUGGCGAACGGGUGAGUAACACGUGGGUGAUCUGCCCUGCACUUUGGGAUAAGACUGGGAAACUGGGUCUAAUACCGGAUAGGACCAUCGUUUAGUGUCGGUGGUGGAAAGUUUUUCGGUGUGGGAUGAGCUCGCGGCCUAUCAGCUUGUUGGUGGGGUAAUGGCCUACCAAGGCGUCGACGGGUAGCCGGCCUGAGAGGGUGUACGGCCACAUUGAGACUGAGGUACGGCCCAGACUCCUACGGGAGGCAGCAGUGGGGAAUAUUGCACAAUGGGCGCAAGCCUGAUGCAGCGACGCCGCGUGGGGGAGGACGGCCUUCGGGUUGAAAACUCCUUUCGCAAAGGACGAAGCGUUUUGUGACGGUACUUGGAGAAGAAGCACCGGCUAACUACGUG
rnacentral:rRNA from 1 species